GCUGGACCCACCCGAUCCCAUCCCGAACUCGGAAGUGAAACGGCUUCGCGCCAAUGAUAGUAUGGAUACCCAUGCGAAAGUAGGUCACCGCCAAGC
rnacentral:rRNA from 1 species